rnacentral:rRNA from 1 species
AAAGGGCCGCGGUAAUUUGACCGUGCGAAGGUAGCAUAAUCAUUUGUCUUUUAAUUGGAGGCUGGAAUGAAUGGCUGGAUGAGGGAUUAAGUGUCUCACUUUUAUUGGUAGAAUUUUACUUUUAAGUGAAAAGGCUUAAAUAGCGUUGAGUGAAGAUAAGACCCUAUAAAACUUAUAUAUCUUUUUAAGUAAGGCUUGCUUAAUUUAGUAUAAAGGAGAGUGCUUAUUAGAUAUUUUGUUGGGGCGACAAGAAUAGAAGUGUAUCUGUUUUUUUAAAUUAGUUAGCAAUUGUUAAAUAUUGAGCCUUUACUAUGGAUCAAAAGAACAAGUUACUUUAGGGAUAACAGCGUAAUUUUCUUUGAGAGAUCUAAUCGACAAGAGUAGUUGCGACCUCGAUGUUGAAUUAAAAUUUUCUAACAAGUGCAGCAGC